rnacentral:rRNA from 1 species
GACGGAGAGUGCAAACGUUUGUUCGGAUUUACUGGGCGUAGAGGGCACGUAGGCGGCCAGGCAAAUCAGUUGUGGAAUCCCGACGCCUACCGUCGGAACGGCAAUUGAAAAUACCUGGCGUCGAGGGCAUGAGGGGUCGCGGGAACGUCCUGGUGGAGCGGUGAAAUGCGUAGAUAUCAGGAGGAACGCCGGAGGCGAAAGCGCGCGACUGGCAUGUCCCUGACGUGAGGUGCGGAAAGCCGGGGGAGCAAACAGG